CCCGAAAGGUUGACGCUUAUUGGUGAGGAUCUUGAGUCCACAUCGACAUUGGCAGCAUGUAUGAUUUCUGACUUGGAGCCAAUCGGGAAGUAAAACGGCCGUUUAAUAUGAAUGGGCGUUGAAAAGAGGGACUUUUAGUUGGCUUCAGGGAUUAAAGUAUUUGAUGUGUAGCUGCCACCGAUUCAAUAGUGCAAGUGGCGAAGAGGUAUCGAUGUGGAAAGGGACAUGUCUCUACAUCUCCUAAAUAGAGAUUUGUAGUGCGGAGGGUGACGGCCGAAUAACACCAGCAGAGUUGACCACGAGAAAACAAAGAGGAACCUUAAUAUUCCUUAUAAAAAUAAGUGGAAUGUCAAAAAACGUGCACAAAGGAUUUGGAGCAAAAACUGUCAAUGGCCUCAAGG
rnacentral:sRNA from 1 species